rnacentral:rRNA from 1 species
UGGGGAAUCUUNGACAAUGGGGGCAACCCUGAUCUAGCCAUGCCGCGUGAGUGAUGAAGGCCUUAGGGUUGUAAAGCUCUUUCAGCUGGGAAGAUAAUGACGGUACCAGCAGAAGAAGCCCCGGCUAACUCCGUGCCAGCAGCCGCGGUAAUACGGAGGGGCUAGCGUUGUUCGGAAUUACUGGGCGUAAAGCGCACGUAGGCGGUCCAGAAAGUUGGGGGUGAAAUCCCGGGGCUCAACCUCGGAACUGCCCUCAAAACUAUUGGUCUGGAGUUCGAGAGAGGUGAGUGGAAUUCCGAGUGUAGAGGUGAAAUUCGUAGAUAUUCGGAGGAACACCAGUGGCGAAGGCGGCUCACUGGCUCGAUACUGACGCUGAGGUGCGAAAAGCGUGGGGAGCAAACAGGAUUAGAUACCCUGGUAGUCCACGCCGUAAAACGAUGAAUGCCAGACGUCGGGCAGCCAUGCUGUUCGGUGUCACACCUAACGGAUUAAGCAUUCCGCCUGGGGAGUACGUCGC